rnacentral:lncRNA from 1 species
CUGACAGUUUCAAACUGCAGUGAGGAAAUAAGGACGGCCCUGUGCAUUGGCCCAGAGCUUGAGCAACCUGCUGCCUGAUUGGCCCGAGGGCCAGGGGCGGGGCUCCGGAUGGUGGCGACCUGGAGAAGCCGGAAUUAAGUUACUCUGGGAGAGCCCCGCCCCCAGCUCGCGCCGGAUUUGAGGGGGCGGGGUCUUAGGGAGCCCCGCCCAGCGUUUGCGAGGCGGUGCUCAGUUCGAUUCUGAGGUGGCUUAGGAGGCAGAUUUUGUUAACGCCUGCGGAGCAGGGCUGAAGUCAGCUAGGGCGGUAUGUAGUUGUCUUUCAAUGAUGCUCAGAGCUUAUGCGUGAGGUCCUCGUGCGUAUGAAUCAUCUGCGAACCUAGGUGGCCCUCAACAAUCACUGACCCCUACCUGCUUGCUGAUUCCUUGGGUCUUGGUCUUGGGUAGGGCUAGGGAAUCUGAAUUUUAAAAAAGACUAACAGUGAUUCUAAUGCAUAGGUCUGCGGACUAUGCUUUAAGAAACUGCUGGGCUAGGUUUUACUGCUAACUUGAAACGUGUCAGACUGCCGGGCAAGCCCUUCUGGUGAAGAGAGUAUCGGAUCUUAGAAUCAUAAGUAUAUCCUGGCUCUACCACCGACUCACUGUCACCUUGGAUAAUGCCACCCACAGAAAAGUUUGUAGGGGGAUUCAGCGAGUUACUAUAUCUGAAAUACCUACCAUACAAACAUCAAAAAAACUAAUUUUCUGCUUAUAUUGGUGCCUUAGGAUCAAGAUGGUAAUGGGAGUGCCUCAAUCUGGAGAGCAAGUAAUGAGACCCUCGCCUCUCUCCUCAUUUUAUGUUGGCCUGUAAAUCCCUCCAGAAUGAAGUCAGGCCUGUGGUAUGACUCAGCAAUGCCCUGCCUUGGUAGCUUCUACAGAAUGGAAGGAAGUUUGUCCCAGCCACACCAGGUGGCAGUGUGACCCACGCCUGCAUGGCCACUAAGGCAAGUGUAUGAGGAAAAACAAUGCAGUGAUUCUACAAAGAAAACUUUGAAAAUAAUUUAACCCCAAAGGGAUAAAUGAACUCAAUUUUUUGUUUCUCAAUUUUAACCAGAGAUUCUAAGAUUUGUGUGAUUUAUAUGACAGCUGCUGACAGGGAAAAGUGAAAAAAGGAAGUCAUUAUUUGCACUGUCAACAGGUACACAGAGAAAUAAAUACGUAUCUUGGCAGACA